rnacentral:rRNA from 1 species
AGGAUUCCCCUAGUAAUGGCGAAUGAAGCGGGAACAGCUCAAAUUUGAAAUCUGCGUCGCCUGCGACGCCGAAUUGUAGUUUGUAGAAGCACUUUCUAGGCGGGUCCGGAGCCGUCCAAGUUGCUUGGAACAGCACGUCAUAGAGGGUGACAACCCCGUCUGUGGCGGAGCCGGCCGCUGACGAUGUGCUUUCGACGAGUCGGGUUGUUUGGGAAUGCAGCCCAAAAUGGGUGGUAAACUCCAUCUAAAGCUAAAUACUGGCACGAGACCGAUAGCGAACAAGUACCGUGAGGGAAAGAUGAAAAGCACUUUGAAAAGAGAGUUAAACAGUACGUGAAACCGUUAAAAGGGAAACGCAUGUGGUCAGCAAUGCGCUUCGCGAGAUUCAGCCGGGCGGUGUGCCGGGCGGGCGGUUAGCGGAUCUGAAUGGACCGCGGCCGCUCGGGUUGGCGCUCCGACCGUCGCACUUCUCGCGAGUGCGCGCCAGCGUCGGUUGGCACUGGGUCUUAAAGUCGCGGGCAAGGUAGGCCGCCUCCUUCGGGAGGGGGCUGUUAUAGGCCUGCGUCGCAUGGCCCGGGGCCGACCGAGGUGUCGCGGCGUGUGCCUCCCCUCGGGGCUGGCUGGGGUCUCGUCUCGCCGACCGGGAGUCGACUUCGGUGGACUGCGUGCAGUGCGCCGAGACUGUUUUCGGUCGCUGGGACGGUGACCUCGCACCACGCGCCAAGGACGCUGGCGAUCAAAUGGCCUCAUUCGACCCGUCUUGAAACACGGACCAAGGAGUCUAACAUGUGCGCGAGUCUUCGAGUGAAGGAAGCUCGCGGGCGCAAUGAAAGUGAAGGCGGCCUCGUGUCGCUGAGGCGAGAGCCCGUCCCCCGGGGCGGGUGCAUCGUCGACCGACCUAUUCUGCUCUCAGGAAGGUUUGAGUGGGAGCGCACCUGUUGGGACCCGAAAGAUGACAGCAGGACGGUGGUCAUGGAAGUCGGAAUCCGUUAAGGAGUGUGUAACAACUCACCUGCCGAAGCAACUAGCCCUGAAAAUGGAUGGCGCUCAAGCGUCGCACCUAUACCGUGCCGUCGGGGCAAAUGCCAGGCCCCGACGAGUAGGAGGGCGCGGCGGUCGUGACGCAGCCUCUGGCGCGAGCCUGGGUGAAACGGCCGCCGGUGCAGAUCUUGGUGGUAGUAGCAAAUAUUCAAAUGAGAGCUUUGAAGACCGAAGUGGAGAAAGGUUCCAUGUGAACAGCAGUUGGACAUGGGUUAGUCGAUCCUAAGAGAUAGGGAAAUUCCGUUUUCAAGUGCCCAAUCGCGGGCCGCCUAUCGAAAGGGAAUCGGGUUAAUAUUCCCGAACCGGAACACGGAUAUCGCCACUUCCGGUGGCGACUGCGGUGACGCAAACGAACCCGAUGUCGCCGGUGGGGACCCUGGGUAGAGUUCUCUUUUCUUCUUAACGGACUUUCACCCUGAAAUCAGCUUGCCUGGAGAUAGGGUUYGAUGUCCGGUAAAGCACCACACUUCUUGUGGUGUCCGGUGCGYUCCUAACGGCCCUUGAAAAAUCGGGGGAGACAGUGAUUUUCGUGUCCGGUCGUACUCAUAACCGCAGCAGGUCUCCAAGGUGAGCAGCCUCUGGUUGAUAGAACAAUGUGGGCAAGGGAAGUCGGCAAAAUAGAUCCGUAAGGUCGGGAUAGGGAUUGGCUC